AUUUGGCCAUUUAAAAAUGAAGAAAAACCACUCACUCCACCUCAAAAAACAUAGAGCGUAACUGGCUUUAUGUCUUCAUCAGUCAAUCCAAACAAGUUAGAGGAUCUUGGUGUUUAAUUUUGGGCCGCCGCGGCCGUCUUCUCCUCAGCCGCCGCCUCCUCAGCCGCCGGUUCCGCCGCGGCCGGACUCACCUCCCCUAGCAAAGCCGGAUAGAGCGGAGCCAGCGUCGGACACGCGCAACCAGCCGCCGAGGCCCCGCCCCCGCCUUGCACGGACCGGCUGCCCUAGCCAAUCCACGCCCACCUGUCCGCUACCGCCUCCAAUCCUGGGCCAGGAGCUUCAGACAGGCGCACUGUUCGGCCAGUGGCAACAAGGAGCAGGAAGCUGCGUGCUAAUCCCGCCUGCAAAAGCUGGAAGAGAGGGGCGGAACGAAAGAACCAAUCAUGAGCCAGAGACAAAGAACAGAGUAACCAAUCCUUGGGUUGAAAAUGAAGUGGGAUGGAACCUGGGCCAAAUAGACACUUGAAAAAACAAAUGGAAAAAAAAAGAUUGAUAUAAGUCCCACCCUUUAGAUCUCCUAUAGGACAGGAUUGUGGAGAAUUUGCUGUCAUAUCGAGACAGCCUCUUCAAGGGGCGGGGCUUAGGGAAGGGGUGGAGUCUUAAAGUGGGCGGGACCUAGACGAAGAAGGCGGAGUCCAAAUCAUCACUGGUCCACUGAUCCGAGAUGUCCAAUAUCCCACUUAAGAUGUAAAGUGUGGGGUAAAAAAUAGGGGAAGAAAAAGGGAAUGUUGAGCUUCAGAAACUCAAGGUCCAAGGUCACUCAACAAGAAGACAAAAGAAACUCAAAAGACUGACAGAAACUCAGUAGACUGACAGUUCGUAGUCUACGGCCGGUCCUCUCCAUAGUUAAUCCUGAUCUUGGCAAAAAGAGGAGGAAUCUCUGGCAUUCAGAACUCCACUGUCGACAAAUGAUAAAGCUGUUGGUGCAAAUUAAAACAAAAAAAUUAAACUUGACCACAAAAAUAAUAA